rnacentral:rRNA from 1 species
GACGAACGCUGGCGGCGUGCUUAAAACAUGCAAGUCGAAAGAAGUGGCGAACGGGUGAGUAACGAGUAAUCAACCUGCCCUUCAGAGGGGGACAACAGUUGGAAACGACUGCUAAUACCGCAUACUGAAGGAGGGGAUUGCGUGUGAUUAGCUAGUUGGAGGGGUAACGGCCCACCAAGGCGCUCCUCAGAAGCCGGUCUGGAAGGGUGAACGAGAAAAUUGGGAAUGGGACCAGGCCCAGACUACCACGGGAAGCAGCAGGGGGGAAACUUCCGCAAUGGAGGAAAGUCUUACGGAGCAACGCCGCGUGGUGGAUGACAGGCUUCGGGUUGGAAAGCUCUGUUAAUCGGGACGCGGUACCGGAAUAGAAAGCCACGGCUAACUACGUGCCAGCCGCCGCGGUAAUAC